AGAUCAAGGAGAAGAAAGGUUGAAUCAAGGGUUUGGAAUUUGUAUAAGCUUGGUUUUCAAGAUUUCUUCAAGAUUGAGAUUUGAGCUUGGAUUGAAGUGUGGAGAUAGGAGGAGAAGGGAUUGAGCAAGGGUUUGAAGAAUUGACUAAGGUUAUUUGAACUUGGAGAAGUGGUUGCUAGAGUUGUGGUGAGGUUUUUGCUCAAACGAGGUGAUAUAGGUACUAGCGCUAGUGCUCCGACUACGGAUCAGCAGGGAGGAGCGUGACGCGG